AUUGAACGCUGGCGGCAGGCCUAACACAUGCAAGUCGAACGAGUGGCGGACGGGUGAGUAAUGUCUGGGAAACUGCCUGCUGGCGGGGGAUAACUACUGGAAACGGUAGCUAAUACCGCAUACCAUCGGAUGUGCCCAGAUGGGAUUAGCUAGUGGGUGGGGUAAAGGCUCACCGAGGCGACGAUCCCUAGCUGGUCUGAGAGGAUGACCAGCCACACUGGAACUGAGAAACGGUCCAGAGGCCUACGGGAGGCAGCAUUGGGGAAUAUUGCACAAUGGGCGAAAGCCUGAUACAGCCAUGCCGCGUGUAUGAAGAAGGCCGUCGGGUUGUAAAGUACGUUCAGCGGGGAGGCGGUACCCGCAGAAGAAGCACCGGCUAACUCCGUGCCAGCAGCCGCGGUAAUAC
rnacentral:rRNA from 1 species